rnacentral:rRNA from 1 species
AUGGCUAGUCCUCUAUCUUCUCCGUUGUCUCCCGAGAAUGUAGUUCUUAAUUUUAAGCAAAGGGAGGGAGAAAAUCUAAAAGACGCUUGGUAUAGAAUUUGCAAUGCUCAAAAUAGAUCUACCAGGAAGCAUUCUACUUCCGUUCUUCUCCGCAACCUUUAUGUAGGCGCUACUCCUUGGUACAGAUAUAUCCUUGAUACCAUUACCGGAGGGAAUUUCUUGGGUAGCCAUACUUUUGAUUCUUAUAAUGCUAUGAUAGAUUUGUUUGGCUCACCACCUCUUUUGGUUAAUGGAACUAUGUUAACUUUGGAGCAUGUAAUGCAAAGACUUGAAAUUAUUGAAAAUAAAGUUGCUACCGUAGAGUUAAUUGAAAAUUUGGAUAAAAAGAUCCACAACCAAAUUACCCAAUAUGGAUCUAAAGUAGGAGUCACUUUGAAAAAUAUUAAGAAGAAGGAACCCAUAGUUAAUGAAAGAAUAAAUCAGGAUUCCACUAGAAUCGAUAAACUUGAGGGUAUCAUUAUCAACUUGGGGACUGCUUUCUCUUCCGUAAAAAAUACUCCAAGUCCUCCAACUAAAAUUGCCAAGCUUAUUUAUGUUCCUAAAAAUAAAGGUGAAUCCUCUAGCAAGGAGACAGCGGACUCGAAUCUAUAA